AGCCUAUUGAAUUCACAAUAAUAGGUAAAUUCUGCCCAAUGAAWUUUUUAAUGGCCGCGGUAUCCUGACCGUGCAAAGGUAGCAUAAUCAUUUGCCUUCUAAUUAAAGGCUAGAAUGAAUGAAUAAACAUAAAUCUAACUUUUCCUAAGAUAAUAAUAAAAAUUAUCCUUCAGGUGAAGAGACCUGAAUAUUAUAAAAAGACAAGAAGACCCUAUCAAGCUUUAUUCAUAAUUAUAAUUAUUAUUAAUAUGAAUUUAAUUGGGGAGAUUAAUGGAGUUUAUAAACCUCCAUAAUAUAAAAGAUAAAUAUAUCUUAUCUUAAUAAUAUAAAAUAAUAAAGCUACUGUAGGGAUAACAGGCUAAUAAAUUCUUAGAGUUCAAAUUAAAGAAUUUGAUUGGCACCUCGAUGUUGGCUUAGGAUAUCUAUUCUCCGCAAAAGGAGAAUAAGAUAGUUUGUUCAACUAUUAAAUUCCU
rnacentral:rRNA from 1 species